rnacentral:rRNA from 1 species
CUACGGGAGGCAGCAGUGGGGAAUAUUGCCCAAUGGAGGAAACUCUGAUGCAGCAACGCCGCGUGGAGGAUGACACUUUUCGGAGCGUAAACUCCUUUUAUAUAGGAAGAUAAUGACGGUACUAUAUGAAUAAGCACCGGCUAACUCCGUGCCAGCAGCCGCGGUAAUACGGAGGGUGCAAGCGUUACUCGGAAUCACUGGGCGUAAAGAGCGUGUAGGCGGAUUAAUAAGUCAGAUGUGAAAGCCAAUGGCUCAACCAUUGAACUGCAUUUGAAACUGUUAAUCUAGAAUAUGGGAGAGGUAGAUGGAAUUUCUGGUGUAGGGGUAAAAUCCGUAGAGAUCAGAAGGAAUACCGAUUGCGAAGGCGAUCUACUGGAACAUUAUUGACGCUGAGACGCGAAAGCGUGGGGAGCAAACAGGAUUAGAUACCCCCGUAGUC